CAGAAGUUGUACCUUUUGCCAGAGGGACUAUCAAUCUUCCAUUUAUAUUUUCAGAUGUACAUAUUUUACGGCUCAUUCUUUCUGUCGAGUGGUCUUCCUUCCCCAAGGAAGGAUGGCGAUAUUUGGGCAUUGAUCCACGAAGAGUCGCCCAUGAACAAAGAUUGGCUGUUUUCAUUCAGGAGCACUAUAGAGCUGUUCAACUACACAUCGACUUUCAAGAGGGGUUCUGACUACCCGCUCACCACCCACUGGCUGACAAACAAAGAGACACUGCUCAGUAAAGAAUAUUUAUUCCCCACAGACAGAAAGAACGUGAUGAGGACAGAUGGUGGCCUAGCUCCAAUUAUAUUUGUCCACAGCGACUGCAACACACCAUCCAACAGGGAGCAGUACGUCACGACGUUGCAGAACUAUGUCGAUGUAGAUUCCUACGGCCCUUGUCUCCACAACAAGGACUUGAAGACACAGAAGAAUUCAAGAAACUCGACGGUAUAGCAGGAUACAUGAAGCCAGACUUUUUGAGACUUGUCGCCCGCUACAAGUUUGCCAUAGCUUUUGAGAACGCCAUCUGUGACGACUACAUCACAGAGAAGUUGUGGCGCCCUCUACAGGUGGGAACUGUCCCUAUUGUGCUCGGCUCGCCGACAAUCAGGGACUUUUUACCAUCCACCAAAUCAGCGAUUCUGGUCGAAGACUUUGACACUAUUCAAGACUUGGCUGCGUUCAUCAAGCAGCUUGAUCGGAACGACGAACAGUAUGAGUCAUACCUCCAAUUCAAACACA